GUACGGGAGGCAGCAGUGGGGAAUUUUGGACAAUGGGGGCAACCCUGAUCCAGCCAUGCCGCGUGCGGGAAGAAGGCCUUCGGGUUGUAAACCGCUUUUGUCAGGGAAGAAACGGUCUGCGCUAAUACCGCGGACUAAUGACGGUACCUGAAGAAUAAGCACCGGCUAACUACGUGCCAGCAGCCGCGGUAAUACGUAGGUUGCAAGCGUUAAUCGGAAUUACUGGGCGUAAAGCGUGCGCAGGCGGCUUUGCAAGACAGAUGUGAGAUCCCCGGGCUCAACCUGGGAACUGCAUUUGUGACUGCAUGGCUAGAGUGCGGCAGAGGGGGAUGGAAUUCCGCGUGUAGCAGUGAAAUGCGUAGAUAUGCGGAGGAACACCGAUGGCGAAGGCAAUCCCCUGGGCCUGCACUGACGCUCAUGCACGAAAGCGUGGGGAGCAUACAGGAUUAGCUACCCGCGUAC
rnacentral:rRNA from 1 species